GGAGAUUUCAGGGGCCCUAGGCGAAAUGGGAAAAAAAUGAUUGUGUGCUUAUGAACCGUUUUUUUAAAAUGAAAUAAAAUUGGAGCCUUUGAACUUAAUGUAUUUUUUACUGAUUGGGGCCCAAUGUGUGACUAAAAAAAUCUUAUUUCUAUAUAGCAAUAAAAAUAAAAAUAAAAAAUCGGGGCCCCAUUUUGCCCUGGGCCCUAGGCGGUUGCACCCCUCGCCUAUGCCCAGG
rnacentral:lncRNA from 1 species